rnacentral:precursor_RNA from 10 species
GUCGCUGGUUGUUGCUGAGCUGUUUUUGUCAGUGAGUGUACAUCUAGUCCACGUAAUGUCUAAAACUGAUAACCGUGACUAGAUGCAUACUCAUCAAUGGGAACUUGCUCAUACGUCUGUGACGCC